CAUGGAUUUCAGACUGUUGGGACAAAGUCUUGAAAAAUAUCCAGUAACUAUCAUUAUUGCCAACUAUGGGAUCCCAGACUGAGAGCAGAGGUGGUAGUCCUGGAGAAGACACAGAUGCACGAAGCCAUCAGAUAGAUGUCCCUGAAAACUCUUUUGACUGUUUAUCACAGGAAACCUUGCUGUGGCCAGCAUUCACUCUGACUUUUGGUGGAGCAGCUGUUGUGUUGCUGAGUUCAUUGAAUUGAAGGUGUGCUGCCCAUGGGUGAACAAUGUGAUUUCUGCCUCCCCUACCUCUGCCACUGAGCACACGGCACCUUCCUGAUCUUCACAUAAGUAAUACUUGGCUUGGACCUGCAAGAAUUUGACUGAUUUUGGAGAAAGCUUUACUCUGCUACUGCCUGAGGGUAUGCUAUUAGAACGUGCUUGCUCAAAAAUAAGGGGACACUCAAGCAAGGGAUGACAGAUCAAGGGGAUCUCAGCGCCCUGAGCUUGAGGACCAUGACUGCAAGAAUAAUCAACUCCCAGUUGACCUGAAUUUGUGCGAGACCUGCUACUCCAGCUGGAUCCCUACAAAUCUAUGGGGCCUGAUGGGAUUCAUCCCAGAAUCCUCAAAGAGCUGACUGAUGUUAUCGCAAAGCCUCUCUCAAUUUUUGAGUUGUCUUGGGAAUCUGGAAAGUUCUCAGUUGACUGGAAGCUGGCAAAUGUUGUACCAAUUUUCAAUAAGGGCAAGAAGGAGGACUUCAGAACCUACAGGCCUGUCAGUCUCCCUUCAGUGCCUGGUAAAUUAUAGAUUUACCAGUGCCUGGUAAAUUGUAGAUUAUUCUGGGAGGUAUUGAAAAACACCUGAAAGACACAACCAGCAGGGUAGUCCUGCUUAUCAAACCUGAUUUC